UACUUCUUCUUCUUUUUGGACACCUUGAGCUUCCCCUCGAUCAGCCGUUGGCCCUGUUUUUUUAUCUCGGCCCGGGAAGGGACGUAGCUAUGGUCCACGUCCGCAAACUGGAAGGUUUCUGCACAGACAAGAAAGGAGUGACUUUCCAGAGACCGACCCCCCUCCCCACCCUUACCCGUUUGCUUUUUUGCUUCUCUGGGCCUUCUCUUGCGUCUGGAGCUCAUCUCACAGAUGGACUGAUGACUGAAGACUCUCUGUGAUCUGACCCCUGCCCUAAGUCACCCAAGGCCAGGUGCCAAGGAACCAGGAUAUGCCAGGAUCACCCAUACUAGCCAUCCUUCUCUGUUCAUCCUACCCUGCCUUUGCGGCAGAAAUUCCACUAAAGGUCUGGUCUGAGCUCCCUUCUGGCCCAUACCAUGGCAGAGGGUAAGCAACCCCAUCUACCAUGAAGGGACCAUGUAUCACCUUCAGUCAAGAUGCUGUGGCUGGGAGCUCAAGGCCUGACAGUGGAAACUCAGGGCGAAGGCAUUAGCGGUUUCUCCUGGCCACCUUUCCAGACCUGCCCACCACGCUGCUUUCAGUACCCUGCUGCCCUGAAGCCCUUUCUCCCUCACUUCCACUGCAGAUGCUCUGCUCUAUGGGAGCCAUAGUGGGAAUGUGCUCGCUGGCGGAUAAUCUGAUGGUAGUGGUGGUGUUGGAUCAUUGAAAAGGCUUGGUGAAAAGACCCACCUCCCCACAACCUCCGAUCAGGUGUGAAAGGGGCGAACCCUGCCCAAGGGAGGGCACGGGGUGGGGAGCUGGGCUUUCACACAAGGGUGUUGGGCUCCCCUAGUCCUGCCCCUGCCACCAGGCCCUGAAGACAAAGUCAUUAUUGUACAUCUUAUCCACCACCCAGUCACCAUGUGUAAAAUGGCUUUGAUUCCCAACUUCAUGUUUACAGCUGUGUGAUAAAAACAUUACCUCAGAUCAUCGGUUUUCUGCUCUUUGUUAGAAAGUUUUCCUGUUUGUACACAGCCAUGUAAGGGCACGGACUAACCAAAGGCUCUUGCCCAUCCGGAGGUCCCACCCUUCUGAUGUAGUCCCACCCCUCUGUUGGAGGCCAGUCUCACCUGCUAAAGUGUUUUUCUCUUACAAAGACCCUCACCAAAGGAGACGCCCUUCCGGCAGAACCCUGCCUAAUCAGCGGUCCAGCCCUGAUACAGAAUCCCUGUCUGAAAUGUAGGACUCCGUCCCUUUUACAGAAUCUCCACGCCCUCCGGCGCAGACCCACGCCCCCGCCCGGU